UAUGUGAUCGUCUCUCGCAUAUCAAUAAGCGGAGGAAAAGAAACUAACAAGGAUUCCCCUAGUAACGGCGAGUGAAGCGGGAAGAGCUCAAAUUUGGAAUCUUAAAGGGUUUCCCUUUACGAAUUGUAGUUUAAAGAAGUGUUUUCUGUUGAGGUCUUGGUAAAAGUUCUUUGGAAUAGGACAUCAUAGAGGGUGAGAAUCCCGUAUUUGACCAUUACUUUUCAACUUUGUGAUACACUUUCAAAGAGUCGGAUUGUUUGGGAAUGCAGUCCAAAAUGGGUGGUAAAUUUCAUCUAAAGCUAAAUAUUGGCGAGAGACCGAUAGCGAACAAGUACCGUGAGGGAAAGAUGAAAAGAACUUUGAAAGGAGAGUUAAACAGUACGUGAAAUUGUCAAAAGGGAAGCGUUUGACACCAGUGUUGUUUUUCUGAAAAUCAAUUAAAGAACUGUUUAUGCUAAGCUGUUUAGACUUUAUCAGCUAACUGUUUAGUUUUGAGCUUUUCUUUAAUGCACUUUUCAGUUAACAAGUCAACAUCAAUUUCUUUUGCUGUAAAAAAGCUUGAGGAAGGUGGCUUGAGAUUCGUCUUAAGUGUUUAUAGCCUCUUGCCUAUGCAGUCGGAGAGAUUGAGGUCUGCAGCGUAGAUCCUUCGGGGCUAAAUGCAUUUGUGCUAAGUUAUAGCAUUUUAUAGACAACUUGUUGACUAUGAUUUGUCUUGUAGCUUACUCGCUUAUGUUAUUUUACCUACGCUUAGGAUGUUGACUGAUAUGUAGUCGU
rnacentral:rRNA from 1 species